rnacentral:rRNA from 1 species
GUCCACGCCGUAAACGAUGGGUGCUAGGUGUGGGGGUGUCGACUCCCCCGUGCCGAAGCUAACGCAUUAAGCACCCCGCCUGGGGAGUACGGCCGCAAGGCUAAAACUCAAAGGAAUUGACGGGGCCCGCACAAGCAGCGGAGCAUGUGGUUUAAUUCGACGCAACGCGAAGAACCUUACCAAGGCUUGACAUGCAUUUGAAAAACCUGGAAACAGCUUCCCUCUUCGGAGCAAAUGCACAGGUGGUGCAUGGCUGUCGU